UACGUAGGUCGCAAGCGUUGUCCGGAUUUACUGGGCGUAAAGAGCGCGCAGGCGGCUGGUCAAGUCCGAUGUGAAAUCUCCCGGCUCAACUGGGAAACUGCAUCGGAAACUGAUCGGCUUGAAGGUGGGAGAGGGUAGUGGAAUUCCCGGUGUAGUGGUGAAAUGCGUAGAUAUCGGGAGGAAGGCCGGUGGCGAAGGCGGCGCUCUGGAACGUAUCUGACGCUGAGACACGAAAGCGUGGGGAGCAAACAGG
rnacentral:rRNA from 1 species